rnacentral:tRNA from 1 species
UCCGUAGUAGCUUAGAUGGUAAAGCAACUGCCUGCAAUGCAGGAGACCCAGGUUCAAUCCUUGGGUUGGGAG